GAUGAGCGCGCCGGGACCAGGUCGCGGGUUACGACAACUGGCGUCUCAACGCGGGGCUCAGUAAAACUUCUUCAAGAAUUUUUUCCUGGCCAUUGACUCUGAACCCCAUGAACCCCACCAGCAUCCCAAAACCUGAUCAUAUGUCACCCAACGUCUGGGGCUAUGAGUCAUUUCAUCUGGACUCUGAAAUUUGUGUAAAUUUGGAUUCAGAACCUGACUGGAUGAACAGGGCUAAGAAAUCAAAGGGGUCAUUUGUACCUCCGGCUGACUGGGAGGUUAUUGGUGUCUGCAAUGAAUGCAUUUUAAAAG